rnacentral:lncRNA from 1 species
UUCCUCUUUCCCUGUGGCCACUUCCUCCUACAAGGCAGGGAACCUCUCCUCCUGGGUUUGUGGGCACAGGUCAUGUGUCGCUCAGGGUGGCGUCUUAUCACAGGCACUAGGUGACUAGUGCUUAUAUGUCACAACACUGCUGCACAGAUGGAGAGACUGAGGCCCAGAGGGGAUGAGGUCUCAGCUCAAAGUCACAAGGGCACUUAAGGCAGAGUCUAAUUCUUUAGACUCUUGCUCAAAACAAGCGCUUCACUUAUUUUGAAAUCUGAGGUCUUGGAGAAAGGAAGGGACUAUCAAAUUAGAGGAAGAAAUUUCUCUUGAAGGUGUGCAUGGAGGUGGCAAAUCCGUGCCUCUCGAGGACAUGCUGGGUCAGCCUGGGUCCCAAGAGGGGCUGUGCAAUCCCGUGGAUACUCGGAUCCCCACGGUGGGGAUGGCUGGGUCCUCGGUGCAGGGAGAGAGACAGGCAGGCUCCCUGCUGUGAGCGGCGGAUACAGUCCACGGGAUGAAUGGAGAGGCUCUGUUGUCACCCCACAGGCCGGAGAGGGGGAGGGAAGAUGGGCGGAUGAGAGGCAGCUGGACGGAGGGAAGAAGGGAGCUGUGUGUGUGCGUGCGGGCACACUUGUGUGCACUCGAGGGGAGAGGAAGAGAGCAGGGAGCAAACCCAGGAGAAGAGCCAAGCAAAGAGAAGGCUGCCAUUGUGAAGGCAGGGACAGCUGCACCAGGGGCCCAGGGACGGCAUCCCGGGAAAAAUUUCAGUCUUCUCUUCCCUGGGUGUGCAGAGAGGCUGAGAAGAAAGAGGAGGAAAGGCUGAGAUGGUGGCAGUGGGGGCGGAGAGAGAGAAACAGAAGAGGAGAAAGGAGUGUGGAAGAGAUGGGGCUGGGCUGCUGGCCGGGACAGAAUGUGGACACUCAGUCACCACUCAUCCUAGGAAGGUCUCCUGAGCACCUACGAUGGGGUGGGCACUCUCUAGGCCUGGGGACCCACGAGGGCACAGGACAGAGGCCCCUGCCUCCAGGGAGCUGGCAUUUUAUUUUAUUUUUGAGAUGGAGUCUCACUCUGUCACCCAAGCUGGAGUGUAGUGGUGCGAUCUCGGCUCACUUGCAA